UACGAAGGGUGCAAGCGUUACUCGGAAUUAUUGGGCGUAAAGGGCGCGUAGGCGGUCGUGUGCGUCAGAGGUGAAAUCCCCAGGCUUAACCUGGGAACUGCAUCCGAUACUGGUUGGCUUGAAUCCGGGAGAGGGAUGCAGAAUUCCAGGUGUAGCGGUGAAAAUGCGUAGAUAUCUGGAGGAAUACCGGUGGCGAAGGCGGCAUCUGGACCGGCAUUGACGCUGAACAGCGAAAAGCUAGGGGAGCAAACCGGGAGU
rnacentral:rRNA from 1 species